AUUGAACGCUGGCGGCAGGCUUAACACAUGCAAGUUGAGCGGUAGCACAAGAGAGCUUGCUCUCUGGGUGACGAGCGGCGGACGGGUGAGUAAUGUCUGGGAAACUGCCUGAUGGAGGGGGAUAACUACUGGAAACGGUAGCUAAUACCGCAUAACGUCGCAAGACCAAAGAGGGGGACCUUCGGGCCUCUUGCCAUCAGAUGUGCCCAGAUGGGAUUAGCUAGUAGGUGGGGUAAUGGCUCACCUAGGCGACGAUCCCUAGCUGGUCUGAGAGGAUGACCAGCCACACUGGAACUGAGACACGGUCCAGACUCCUACGGGAGGCAGCAGUGGGGAAUAUUGCACAAUGGGCGCAAGCCUGAUGCAGCCAUGCCGCGUGUGUGAAGAAGGCCUUCGGGUUGUAAAGCACUUUCAGCGAGGAGGAAGGUGGUGAACUUAAUACGUUCAUCAAUUGACGUUACUCGCAGAAGAAGCACCGGCUAACUCCGUG
rnacentral:rRNA from 1 species